GCAGUUCGAGCGGGGAAAGGUAGCUUUGCUACCUAACCUAGCGGCGGACGGGUGAGUAAUGCUUAGGAAUCUGCCUAUUAGUGGGGGACAACAUUCCGAAAGGAAUGCUAAUACCGCAUACGUCCUACGGGAGAAAGCAGGGGACCUUCGGGCCUUGCGCUAAUAGAUGAGCCUAAGUCGGAUUAGCUAGUUGGUGGGGUAAAGGCCUACCAAGGCGACGAUCUGUAGCGGGUCUGAGAGGAUGAUCCGCCACACUGGGACUGAGACACGGCCCAGACUCCUACGGGAGGCAGCAGUGGGGAAUAUUGGACAAUGGGGGGAACCCUGAUCCAGCCAUGCCGCGUGUGUGAAGAAGGCCUUUUGGUUGUAAAGCACUUUAAGCGAGGAGGAGGCUACUAGUAUUAAUACUACUGGAUAGUGGACGUUACUCGCAGAAUAAGCACCGGCUAACUCUGUGCCAGCAGCCGCGGUAAUACAGAGGGUGCGAGCGUUAAUCGGAUUUACUGGGCGUAAAGCGUGCGUAGGCGGCUGAUUAAGUCGGAUGUGAAAUCCCUGAGCUUAACUUAGGAAUUGCAUUCGAUACUGGUCAGCUAGAGUAUGGGAGAGGAUGGUAGAAUUCCAGGUGUAGCGGUGAAAUGCGUAGAGAUCUGGAGGAAUACCGAUGGC
rnacentral:rRNA from 1 species